AGGCAGUUUUCCCCCAAAUCCCUCCCCUAUAGACGCACGAGCUUCCUCCUAAAUCCCACCCCAGUGCCGAGAGCGCCACCAAAUUAACACCAAAACCACGGCGGCGCAGCUCAUCCAUGGCCUUGCCGCCCGCGCCUUCCUCAAGCCAUCGCCAUUGUAGGCGGCGGCGGCCGCCGCCGCUGCAGACUUGGGCUCCCGCGGUUGCCGCUGCAGAGGCAGCCGCCACCGGCGGUGGCCGUGUGGGCCUUGACCACCCGGCCACCCUCGGUAGCUUCGGAUGCACCGGAGGUCUCCGCCACUGCGAUGCUCGCCCGACCCUGCCGCCCUCGAUGGAUCCUAGUUAGCCUGCCGCCCUCGGUGGAUCCUACCCUGCCGCCCACGACUGAGACCAACCUGCCGAAGCUGUAGACGUGUGCUUCAACUUCAGAAAUCAGAACCAAGGCUUAAUUAGAAUCAGAAGAUGGAGUGGACUUGCAAUUAUCGCAUAAGCGAUUGAUGAUUUCUAAUAGUUUUCUUCUGUCUGAGAUUUAAAUCGCGGGCGAACGGAAAUCGCGGAAGGGAAAUUUGCCGCGAUAAUUAAUGAAGAAACAGCGCGAUCUCCGGCGAUUGCGGCGUGAUCUCCCGUGAUUCUGGAUGACGAGUGGCUUCCACCCCCCAAAUUCUUAAGAGGUUUUGCAGAACUUCUACUGCGCCUAUUGCAAAUGAGUCUAAACGUCCAUUGAUUAGACCUGAUGGGGACAUGCACUGGUUAGAAUUACAUACAUUGAGGAAAAAAUGUGAGAAAGCCAAAUGGUGUGCUAACAAUUCUGUCCAGACUACAGUGGAGAGUAGCCUUGGUGGUCUGCAUAAGUUUCUUAUGGUGUGUAAAGCCAUUCGAUAUAGCUUUCUAAUUUGUAUGAAAAAUGUCAGACCAUCACAUCCCUUCAAGGAAUUCAAGGGCCUGAGAUUCCAUGUAUUGUUAUACCUCCACCUCCAGCUUUUUCAACAUUAACCACUUCGUCUUCGAUCUUUUCUCCAGAAAUGGUAUGUGCAUAUUUCUUUUGAAGGCAAUAACACCAGAUCGGCCAAAUAAGAAAAGAAAAGGAAUAGGUUGCACUAUAGCAGCAAAUGUGCAUCUGUUUUUUUUAUUGCUAUUGUGUUGAAGCUAUUUUGCCCACACAAUAUGUUACAACUAAUAACACAACAGCCUUGAAGCUAUGGUACUACCUCUGCUAUGUGCUCUUCUCUAGGUCCUUAAUUGAAAAUAAGGAGGCAUUUGUGGUAUUUGUAGUAGCUUGAGCCUUUUCUAUCAAUGUACAUUAAGCUAGAGCAGUCCAGGACAUUUCAGUGAUGUGGUGCUUACCAUCUUUAUUAGAAUAUGUUAAGUAUAUUGUAAGAAAAAAUACAAACAAAAGGGUUUUCUCAGCCAUGGUUCAAUUGCUACAUAGGGUAAAUCUUUCCAUUCAUUAUAAGCAUUGUGUUGUUUGAUGGCAAACUUUGUGAUGCAAAAUUAUAUAUAACAAUGCACGCCAAUCAUCGCUACAUAGUUUAACAUCUAUCUUGCUGUUGAAUCAACUAAGCAUUUUUGUAGUCAUUAUUUACGAUUUGAUAUAUCAAGAUUCUAAAAAAGACAUUUCUGCAGCCCUCCACAGGUGAAUCAACUAAUGGUGCUGAAAAUAUGAAUAAUACAUCGCAUGGAGCAGAAGAUAGAAUGUUUGCUGUCUCUUUUGAUGCAAACUAGAAAUUUCUCUCCGCCCGGUGACGAACUACCUCCUUUUUGAGAUGUCUCUUGCGGUUGUGAAGGAAGUGCCAUAAACUUUUUGUGUCGAUAAAUUGGAAGCCAAUGCUUGUUACUAGGAUAUGCAUACUUAAUUAAGUGCAACCCGCCACUCCUCUUUUUGGCCAUGCACAUGCCGAUGGUUGUGAUCUCUUGGAUCAGUGACUUGCAUGAUUUAUAGUGUGUGCGACAAUCCUAGUUAGAUGACACUUUGUGAAGUGUAGGAUACUUCUGUAAGCUCCUGGUUGUUGACAUGUAAAAUGAUUAUGGUUAAUAUAUAUAUGUGUGUGUGCGUGUGUCGCUUUUGUGUCUUUAAAUUUCUGGAGUGAUUAUG